rnacentral:rRNA from 1 species
GCAAGGCUGAAACUCAAAGGAAUUGACGGGGGCCCGCACAAGCGGUGGAGCAUGUGGUUUAAUUCGAAGCAACGCGCAGAACCUUACCAAGGCUUGAAAUCCUUCGAAUCCCGAGUAAUUUUGGGAGUGCCCGCAAGGGAAUGAAGUGACAGGUGCUGCAUGGCUGUCGUCAGCUCGUGUUGUGAAAUGUUGGGUUAAGUCUCGCAACGAGCGCAACCCCUAUCUUUAGUUGCCAGCAUUAAGUUGGGCACUCUAGAGAGACUGCCCGGGUUAACCGGGAGGAAGGUGGGGAUGACGUCAAGUCCUCAUGGCCCUUAUGCCUUGGGCUACACACGUAAUACAAUGGUUGGUACAGAGGGACGCGAGCAUGCGAAUGUCAGCAAAUCUCAAAAAGCCAAUCUCAGUCCGGAUUGGAGUCUGCAACUCGACUCCAUGAAGUUGGAAUCGCUAGUAAUCGGAGAUCAGCACGCUCCGGUGAAUACGUUCCCGGGCCUUGUACACACCGCCC